UACGUAGGGACCAAGCGUUGUUCGGAUUUACUGGGCGUAAAGGGCGCGUAGGCGGCAAUUCAAGUCAUCUGUGAAAUCUCCGGGCUUAACUCGGAACGGUCAGAUGAUACUGCUUUGCUAGAGUGCGGAAGGGGCAAUCGGAAUUCUUGGUGUAGCGGUGAAAUGCGUAGAUAUCAAGAGGAACACCUGAGGUGAAGACGGGUUGCUGGGCCGACACUGACGCUGAGUGCGCGAAAGCCAGGGGAGCAAACAGG
rnacentral:rRNA from 1 species